CCUACGGGUGGCAGCAGUGGGGAAUAUUGGUCAAUGGACGCAAGUCUGACCCAGCAACGCCGCGUGAAGGAUGAAGGCUUUCGGGGUUUAAACUUCUUUUUAUGGGGAAGAGAAGAAGACGGUACCCCUUUAAUAAGACACGUCUAACUACGUGCCAUCAGCCACGGUAAUACGUGGGUGGCAAGCGUUGUCCGGAUUUACUGGGUUUAAAGGGCGUGCAGCCGGUGAGACAAGUCAGGUGUGAAAUCCACGGGCUCAACCCGAGAACUGCAUUUGAAACUGGUUGCCUUGAGUUUAGGUGAGGUAAGCGGAAUGCCUGGUGUAGCGGUGAAAUGCGUAGAUAUAAGGAAGAACACCAGUGGCGAAGGCGGCUUACUGGACGAUCACUGACGGUGAGGCGCGAAAGCGUGGGGAGCAAACAGGAUUAGAUACCCCGGUAGUC
rnacentral:rRNA from 1 species